rnacentral:rRNA from 1 species
GAUGAACGCUGGCGGCGUGCCUAAUACAUGCAAGUCGAGCGAACGGACGAGAAGCUUGCUUCUCUGAUGUUAGCGGCGGACGGGUGAGUAACACGUGGAUAACCUACCUAUAAGACUGGGAUAACUUCGGGAAACCGGAGCUAAUACCGGAUAAUAUUUUGAACCGCAUGGUUCAAAAGUGAAAGACGGUCUUGCUGUCACUUAUAGAUGGAUCCGCGCUGCAUUAGCUAGUUGGUAAGGUAACGGCUUACCAAGGCAACGAUGCAUAGCCGACCUGAGAGGGUGAUCGGCCACACUGGAACUGAGACACGGUCCAGACUCCUACGGGAGGCAGCAGUAGGGAAUCUUCCGCAAUGGGCGAAAGCCUGACGGAGCAACGCCGCGUGAGUGAUGAAGGUCUUCGGAUCGUAAAACUCUGUUAUUAGGGAGGAACAUAUGCGUAAGUAACUGUGCACAUCUUGACGGUACCUAAUCAGAAAGCCACGGCUAACUACGUG